rnacentral:rRNA from 1 species
GAUGAACGCUGGUGGCGUGCCUAAUACAUGCAAGUCGAGCGAACAGACGAGGAGCUUGCUCCUCUGACGUUAGCGGCGGACGGGUGAGUAACACGUGGAUAACCUACCUAUAAGACUGGGAUAACUUCGGGAAACCGGAGCUAAUACCGGAUAAUAUAUUGAACCUCAUGGUUCAAUAGUGAAAGACGGUUUUGCUGUCACUUAUAGAUGGAUCCGCGCCGCAUUAGCUAGUUGGUAAGGUAACGGCUUACCAAGGCAACGAUGCGUAGCCGACCUGAGAGGGUGAACGGCCACACUGGAACUGAAACACGGUCCAGACUCCUACGGGAGGCAGCAGUAGGGAAUCUUCCGCAAUGGGCGGAAGCCUGACGGAGCAGCGCCGCGUGAGUGAUGAAGGUCUUCGGAUCGUAAAACUCUGUUAUUAGGGAAGAACAAAUGUGUAAGUACCUAUGCACGUCUUGACGGUACCUAAUCAGAAAGCCACGGCUAACUACGUG